GUGCGAACGGGUGAGUAACACGUGAGUAACCUGCCCUUGACUUUGGGAUAACUUCAGGAAACUGGGGCUAAUACCGGAUAGGAGCUCCUGCUGCAUGGUGGGGGUUGGAAAGUUUCGGCGGUUGGGGAUGGACUCGCGGCUUAUCAGCUUGUUGGUGGGGUAGUGGCUUACCAAGGCUUUGACGGGUAGCCGGCCUGAGAGGGUGACCGGCCACAUUGGGACUGAGAUACGGCCCAG
rnacentral:rRNA from 1 species